rnacentral:rRNA from 1 species
CUACCAAGACAGUGACGGUUGACGGGAAAUUAGGGUUUUGCACCGGAGAGGGAGCCUGAGAGAUUGCUCCCACGUCCAAGGACGGCAGCAGGCGCGAAAAUUGCCCACUCUUUGCAGGAGGCAGUUAUGAGACGUGAAGAUGAGUAUCUUGUAAAGAGGGAUAGGAGAAUUGGAGGGCAAGUUUGGUGCCAGCAGCCGCGGUAAUACCGACUCCAAGAGUGUGUAUGAGAGAUGCUGCAGUUAAAAAGUCCGUAGUCAUAGAAGGGCAAAGAGAGACGCGAGGUCUCACUGUGCGAUGAUGGAGGAGCCGAUGGGGAACAUAGUAUACCAGGGCGAGAGAUGAAAUGCCAAGACCCCUGGUGGACUGAGCGAGGCGAAGGCGAUGUUCUUGUAGGCAUUCGGUGAUCAAGGACGAAGGCUGGAGUAUCGAAAGUGAUUAGAUACCGCAGUAGUUCCAGCAGUAAAAGAUGCC